UGGGGAAUAUUUGGCAAUGAGCGAAAGCCUGACGAAGCAAUACCGCGUGAAGGAAGAAGGCCCGUGGGUCGUAAACUUCUUUUCUCAAGGAAGAAACAAUGACGGUACUUGAGGAAUAAGCACCGGCUAACUCUGUG
rnacentral:rRNA from 1 species